rnacentral:rRNA from 1 species
GUGGGGAAUAUUGGGCAAUGGGGGAAACCCUGACCCAGCAACGCCGCGUGAAGGAAGACGGUUUUCGGAUUGUAAACUUCUUUUAUCGGGGACGAAAAAAAUGACGGUACCCGAAGAAAAAGCCACGGCUAACUACGUGCCAGCAGCCGCGGUAAUACGUAGGUGGCAAGCGUUGUCCGGAUUUACUGGGUGUAAAGGGCGUGUAGGCGGGACUGCAAGUCAGAUGUGAAAUACCAAGGCUUAACCUUGGGGCUGCAUUUGAAACUGUAGUUCUUGAGUGAUGGAGAGGCAGGCGGAAUUCCUAGUGUAGCGGUGAAAUGCGUAGAUAUUAGGAGGAACACCAGUGGCGAAGGCGGAUCUCUGGAACGCAACUGACGCUGAGGCGCGAAAGUCGGGGGAGCAAACAGGAUUAGAAACCCGGGUAGUCC